CCUACGGGGUGCAGCAGUGGGGAAUAUUGCACAAUGGGGGAAACCCUGAUGCAGCGACGCCGCGUGAGUGAAGAAGUACUUCGUUAUGUAAAGCUCUAUCAGCAGGGAAGAAAAUGACGGUACCUGAGUAAGAAGCCCCGGCUAACUACGUGCAAGCAGCCGCGGUAAUGCGUAGGGGGCAAGCGUUAUCCGGAUUUACUGGGUGUAAAGGGAGCGUAGAGGGCAGUGCAAGUCUGGUGUGAAAGGCUGGGGCUCAACCCCCGGACUGCCCGGGAAACUGUAAGGUUGGAGUGCAGGAGGGGGAAGUGGAAUUCCGAGUGUAGCGGUGGAAUGCGUAGAUAUUAGGGGGAACACCAGUGGCGAAGGCGGCUUACUGGACUUUAACUGACGUUGAGGCUCGAAAGCGUUGGGAGCAAACAGGAUUAGAUACCCCUGGUAGUC
rnacentral:rRNA from 1 species